rnacentral:rRNA from 1 species
GCUUAGGCAAAUAAGACACCAGAGAGAAUAACUGGUAGAUAGGUCAGGAGUGUAAGUGCUGUGAGGCAUUGAGCGGACUGAUACUAAUAAGUCGAAGACUUAGCCAA